rnacentral:rRNA from 1 species
AUUGAACGCUGGCGGCAGGCCUAACACAUGCAAGUCGAGCGGGGUGAUGGUGCUUGCACUAUCACUUAGCGGCGGACGGGUGAGUAAUGCUUAGGAAUCUGCCUAUUAGUGGGGGACAACAUCUCGAAAGGGAUGCUAAUACCGCAUACGUCCUACGGGAGGAAGCAGGGGAUCACUUGUGACCUUGCGCUAAUAGAUGAGCCUAAGUCGGAUUAGCUAGUUGGUGGGGUAAAGGCCUACCAAGGCGACGAUCUGUAGCGGGUCUGAGAGGAUGAUCCGCCACACUGGGACUGAGACACGGCCCAGACUCCUACGGGAGGCAGCAGUGGGGAAUAUUGGACAAUGGGGGGAACCCUGAUCCAGCCAUGCCGCGUGUGUGAAGAAGGCCUUAUGGUUGUAAAGCACUUUAAGCGAGGAGGAGGCUCUUUUGGUUAAUACCCAAGAUGAGUGGACGUUACUCGCAGAAUAAGCACCGGCUAACUCUGUGCCAGCAGCCGCCGUAA